ACAUACGACCACAGCCACCAGACAAAUCAGGAUCCCGUCUGAUCUCCUAGGAUAACCUGGUGAGCGCUGGAUUAGUAGUUGGGUCGGUGACGACCAGCGAAUACCCGGUGUUGUAUGUA
rfam:Hirsutella minnesotensis 3608 unplaced genomic scaffold MNSD_Scf_141, whole genome shotgun sequence.